AAUAUAGUGGCUGAUAAAGGUGUUAGACUGUAAAUCUAAUUAUGAGUUUAAGAUACUCCUGUAUUA
rnacentral:tRNA from 1 species